CGAUAACGGCGUCGAGCGGCGGACGGGUGAGUAAUGCCUAGGAAAUUGCCCUGAUGUGGGGGAUAACCAUUGGAAACGAUGGCUAAUACCGCAUAAUGCCUACGGGCCAAAGAGGGGGACCUUCGGGCCUCUCGCGUCAGGAUAUGCCUAGGUGGGAUUAGCUAGUUGGUGAGGUAAGGGCUCACCAAGGCGACGAUCCCUAGCUGGUCUGAGAGGAUGAUCAGCCACACUGGAACUGAGACACGGUCCAGACUCCUACGGGAGGCAGCAGUGGGGAAUAUUGCACAAUGGGCGCAAGCCUGAUGCAGCCAUGCCGCGUGUGUGAAGAAGGCCUUCGGGUUGUAAAGCACUUUCAGUCGUGAGGAAGGUAGUGUAGUUAAUAGCUGCAUUAUUUGACGUUAGCGACAGAAGAAGCACCGGCUAACUCCGUGCCAGCAGCCGCGGUAAUACGGAGGGUGCGAGCGUUAAUCGGAAUUACUGGGCGUAAAGCGCAUGCAGGUGGUUUGUUAAGUCAGAUGUGAAAGCCCGGGGCUCAACCUCGGAAUUGCAUUUGAAACUGGCAGACUAGAGUACUGUAGAGGGGGGUAGAAUUUCAGGUGUAGCGGUGAAAUGCGUAGAGAUCUGAAGGAAUACCGGUGGCGAAGGCGGCCCCCUGGACAGAUACUGACACUCAGAUGCGAAAGCGUGGGGAGCAAACAGGAUUAGAUACCCUGGUAGUCCACGCCGUAAACGAUGUCUACUUGGAGGUUGUGGCCUUGAGCCGUGGCUUUCGGAGCUAACGCGUUAAGUAGACCGCCUGGGGAGUACGGUCGCAAGAUUAAAACUCAAAUGAAUUGACGGGGGCCCGCACAAGCGGUGGAGCAUGUGGUUUAAUUCGAUGCAACGCGAAGAACCUUACCUACUCUUGACAUCCAGAGAACUUUCCAGAGAUGGAUUGGUGCCUUCGGGAACUCUGAAAACAGGGGCUGCAUGGCUGUCGUCAGCUCG
rnacentral:rRNA from 1 species